GUGCUCACUUCGGCAGCACAUAUACUAAAAUUGGAACGAUACAGAGAAGAUUAGCAAGGCCCUGUGCAAAGAUGACAUGCAAAUUCGCGAAGCGUUCCAUAUUUUU
rnacentral:snRNA from 1 species